rnacentral:misc_RNA from 1 species
CCGAAUUCUGUCACAAUUUUCCCUCUCUCUUAGGCACCAGACUGUUAUGCUUAUGGUGCUCGAGAGGCCUCCAUUCCCAAGAUAUCUUAAAACUCUGAUGCUGAAUUCUACCGCUGUCAGGCAUGGCGGAUCCUCAGCAUACUUUUCCUUACCAUGAUCCAUACGAUAGUCCCUUUAACUACGAAUAUCUCGAUUUUAUGACAGAUUCAUAUCCAACCCUUGAUAAUUUACCCUCUGGAGAUGUACCCACUUCACUUCAUCCAUCCAGCGAUAAUAUAGCGGAUCCGAAUCAUUGUUUUGAUUAUCCAAUGAUUUGGGAUACUGGUAACCAGUCUAACAGCGGGGGCCAAUCUCUAGGAGAAGGUCCGUCGCAGAGUCGCAAAAGAAGAGCGGCAGAGAAUUUGCAACCAAAUUGUCCAGACGGUGGUAGGCCUAUUUCAGUUUGGCCACCACCACCAGCGCCAUUUUGGUGCACUUGUUGCCAAGUUCUUAGGGAAAUAAUCCAUACUGACGGCAACUGCACAAAAAGAUUAGAAAUUCAUGGGAGAUUGGGCUUGAUUUGCCAUGCUAUUCUUGAGAGUAAGAACCAAGUCCAGGAUGGUUCUUCAGUAUCUCGAUACCAUAUGUUUGAUUUUUGCAAGAAAAGCAUUGACGGUGUUAAGCAAUUUCUGCAACAAUAUUGUUAUGAUCAAACGAAGGCUGGAUACGUUAUGCUUCAAGAUCCACUUUCAGUCUUCUAUGAAGCCCUGUGUGUUGGAAUCGAGUGGGAUGAAAAUCUGCAUAAUGAUGCAUCAAUAUAUUCAGGGGGGCAUCGAGCAAAUCAAACGGAAGG